rnacentral:rRNA from 1 species
CGCGGCCUAUCAGCUUGUUGGUGAGGUAACGGCUCACCAAGGCAUUGACGGGUAGCUAGUCUGAGAGGACGAACAGCCACACUGGGACUGAGACACGGCCCAGACUCCUACGGGAGGCAGCAGUGGGGAAUCUUGCACAAUGGGCGAAAGCCUGAUGCAGCGACGCCGCGUGGGGGAUGAAGGCCCUAGGGUCGUAAACCCCUUUCAGUGGGGACGAAACUGACGGUACCCACAGAAGAAGGUCCGGCCAACUACGUGCCAGCAGCCGCGGUAAGACGUAGGGACCGAGCGUUGUCCGGAUUUAUUGGGCGUAAAGAGCUCGUAGGCGGUUGCGUAAGUCGGAUGUGAAAACUCGGGGCUCAACCCCGAGACGCCAUCCGAUACUGCGCUGACUUGAAUCCAGUAGGGGAGUGUGGAACUCCUGGUGUAGCGGUGAAAUGCGCAGAUAUCAGGAGGAACACCUAUGGCGAAGGCAGCACUCUGGGCUGGUAUUGACGCUGAGGAGCGAAAGCGUGGGUAGCAAACAGGAUUAGAUACCCUGGUAGUCCACGCCGUAAACGGUGGGCACUAGGUGUGGGGACUUUCAACGGUUUCCGUGCCGAAGCUAACGCAUUAAGUGCCCCGCCUGGGGAGUACGG